CCUACGGGAGACUGCAGUGGGGAAUAUUGCACAAUGGGGGAAACCCUGAUGCAGCGACGCCGCGUGAGCGAUGAAGUAUUUCGGUAUGUAAAGCUCUAUCAGCAGGGAAGAAGAUGACGGUACCUGACUAAGAAGCCCCGGCUAACUCCGUGCCAGCAGCCGCGGUCAUACGGAGGGGGCAAGCGUUAUCCGGAUUUACUGGGUGUAAAGGGAGCGUAGACGGCGAUGCAAGCCAGAUGUGAAAGGCCGGGGCUCAACCCCGGGACUGCAUUUGGAACUGUGUGGCUGGAGUGUCGGAGAGGCAGGCGGAAUUCCUAGUGUAGCGGUGAAAUGCGUAGAUAUUAGGAGGAACACCAGUGGCGAAGGCGGGCUGCUGGACGAUGACUGACGUUGAGGCUCGAAGGCGUGGGGAGCAAACAGGAUUAGAUACCCGGGUAGUC
rnacentral:rRNA from 1 species